rnacentral:rRNA from 1 species
CACUCCUGCGGGAGGCAGCAGUGGGGAAUAUUGGACAAUGGGCGCAAGCCUGAUCCAGCCAUGCCGCGUGAGUGAUGAAGGCCCUAGGGUUGUAAAGCUCUUUCACCGGUGAAGAUAAUGACGGUAACCGGAGAAGAAGCCCCGGCUAACUUCGUGCCAGCAGCCGCGGUAAUACGAAGGGGGCUAGCGUUGUUCGGAUUUACUGGGCGUAAAGCGCACGUAGGCGGACUAUUAAGUCAGGGGUGAAAUCCCGGGGCUCAACCCCGGGACUGCCUUUGAUACUGGUAGUCUUGAGUUCGAGAGAGGUGAGUGGAAUUCCGAGUGUAGAGGUGAAAUUCGUAGAUAUUCGGAGGAACACCAGUGGCGAAGGCGGCUCACUGGCUCGAUACUGACGCUGAGGUGCGAAAGCGUGGGGAGCAAACAGGAUUAGAAACCCUUGUAGUCCCAUGAU